rnacentral:rRNA from 1 species
GAUGAACGCUGGCGGCGUGCUUAACACAUGCAAGUCGAACGAAGCACUUUAACCUGAUUCUUCGGAUGAAGGUUUUUGUGACUGAGUGGCGGACGGGUGAGUAACGCGUGGGUAACCUGCCUCAUACAGGGGGAUAACAGUUAGAAAUGACUGCUAAUACCGCAUAAGACCACAGAGCCGCAUGGCUCGGUGGGAAAAACUCCGGUGGUAUGAGAUGGACCCGCGUCUGAUUAGGUAGUUGGUGGGGUAACGGCCUACCAAGCCAACGAUCAGUAGCCGACCUGAGAGGGUGACCGGCCACAUUGGGACUGAGACACGGCCCAAACUCCUACGGGAGGCAGCAGUGGGGAAUAUUGCACAAUGGGGGAAACCCUGAUGCAGCGACGCCGCGUGAGCGAAGAAGUAUUUCGGGAUGUAAAGCUCUAUCAGCAGGGAAGAAAAUGACGGUACCUGACUAAGAAGCACCGGCUAAAUACGUG